UUUUAAGUUGGCCCCUUCAUUCAUUAGCUUCUAGAUCAGUCCCUAGCUAAAAGGAAAUGACAUCUGCUGAUGCAAGGGCUCCGAUUCUUUUGUUAAUGUCGGUGAUUUUGAGGCCUUUUAUUUUGAAAAUAAUUAGAAUAACCCCUGUAUAAUUCCGCUGGAGUUUUUUUGGGGCAACAAUUAAGAAAAUUGAGAAGUCAAAAGGCAGCAAAAUAUAAAAAGGGCAGACGUUGGAUCAUUAUGUGCAGUAAAAUAAUUGUGGUGAUUGAGGCAUAUGAGUAGAACCCUAACCUUGCAGACCUUUUCUGAACCCAGAGUUUGCGAAGGAAAUAAUUGAUAGGCAAUCUGUCUGGAGAAGAGUUGCAUGCCUUGCUAUCAACUUUGGUAUCAGCACCCAGCGCUCGCGCUCAUACAGAUGAAAUUAUUGUUGUAGAAGGGUCUUUCCAUACUGAAUGGUUCGCGCUUGCCAAACAUUCGAAAAUUUGAGAUUGCUGGUAUUGAAACCCUUCAGAAUUCCCAAUAAAUGUAAUGUUUUCUCCAAUAGACUCUUUGCUGAUUGGGGAUUACAUAACUGCUAUAUGAUGAAACUAUUUUAUGAUGUUCUUUUGAAGUGUGUGAUUUUUACUUUUUCAAUUAGCUUGACAUGCCAAAGCUGGUCCCGCUGAACUUGUGCCUUUCUAUAAAUGGCUCAAUUUAUGUUGCCUUUGUCCUUAGCCCAGCCAACCAUGUAUGUUACUGAGCCACUGUACGAGUUGAAGCUUUUAUAUCAUUUUGAUGAUUUUCCUUA